CAGAAGACGGUCACACAGGCAGCGGUGGCCAGACCCCUCCCCUGCCCCCACCUACCUGCCCCACACAGCGGUUAUUGCACAGUGUUGCUGUAAUUAUCGGUGGCUAUAAAUAGUCUUUAUUAAGAAGUCUCAUCUGGGAUUGGACAGACCUGAUGGGUGGCCCUUAUUUGCUGUCUCCUCAAACAAGUGGGGGGAAAAAAAUGUCUCCUCAUACCUUCAAACAAGGAGCAAGGAUAAGGGAAGGAGACACGGACACGCAAGGGGAAGCAGGGGCCUGGCUCCUCAUCACAGACAGCGGGAACCAGACACCAUUGCCCCGGUCUUGAAAGUUGACUUCAGUGUCUGGAGAGCCAUGCAAAUAUUCUUCAACACAACCCCCUCUUUACAAACGGCAGUCAUAAAGCCAGCUCACCUCCUUGGGGUUUACCUAGAGAAAGCAAGGAACAGCUUAAAAACACAUCGUCAACAAAGUACUGUUUCUGUGCUGUUACUCAGGCGGGUGAAGCCACCACAGUGCACGGCCCCCUGCUGCCACAUCUCCAGCGGAGCUGUGCAGCCGCCCUCGCCGCCUCUGCCCUCUGCCUCCCGCACACCCAUCCCGCUCACUCCCUCUGCCCUGUGGCUCCAGCCCCAGGAAGUCUUCUCUGCGCAUCCUCAUGCAAGUCACCGUCUCCACCCAGCAGCUGCCUGUCCUCUCCUCCGUCACAGAGGUCCCGCUGCACCUUCUAGUUCCAAAUCUGCAACUCUCACCAGAAAGAGCAUGUUGAUCUUUAGCUCCUUUCUCAGGACUUAUUCCUGCCUCGUACUCCCUGUGGCCUUUCUUUCUCUUGACCUUGAAUUACAAUUUCCAGAGCCCUUUCCGACUUCAUCACUGGACUGAGAGCCACUUCAGCAAGGGGCUCUGUCUGACUCAGCAGGCCAAACACAGUCCCUUGCCUGAAGCAGACAAUAAAUAGGGAGCCACUGCAAGAUCUGUCCUCAUGAUUCUUGCAGACGGAGGCUAAGAGAGGCUUUUAGAACCUUAGAUAAGGGGCAGUGAGGGGAUUCGGAGCAGCUAUAAAUCUCAGAGAAACUUUCUGGUCCAGAACUUUCUUCUUUUUUAAUCUAAUGUUAUUCAGGACAUGGGGUUGCAUCAGACACUAGCAGACAUUUUCAAACCUCUCAGUGAUCCACCCAUCCAACGCUUCUGCCAGUGCAAACAAUGCCAACCGUGAGGGAGAAGAGUCUCCUUCUAUCAAAGUCAUUCACACAGAUCAGUUAGGAUCUGCAGAAGGUAUUUCUUAGGAAGGGACUCACAGAGCUUUCAGUCUGAGGCCACAGUUUUUGUUCUCGGUUGUAUCCUUUGUGGGUCUCUCAUACCUGCCAGGAGAGGCGACCUGCUGUGUCUGCUUGUUUGCUGAAUCACUGCCGAUUUAAACUCAGCAAAUAGCAACAAAAAGCUGAUUUAAUGAGAUUUUAAAGUUCAGCUGUGAAAAUUGAAAGUCACCCAACAUCAAAUCACCCAACCACCUGCAAAUAUUGCACUGAAAUGUUCUUGUCACUCACAGGGAUUCUAUUUCUGACCAGCCAGUUGACAGUAGUGGGAAUGAACCGCGGGCAGGAAAGACCAGGAACCACUGGCUUGCUUCUGUUUGCCAGGAACACUUUUGGGGGAAUUAAAUAGGAAAUGUUUGCAAAGGGUUCAGCAUAGCGCCUGGCAAGGAGAAGAUGCUCCAUCAACACGGGUUGUCCUGUCUUCACUCCCUUCUCUGAGAUCGCAUAUGAGGAGGGUUCAUUGUGACGCCCAGGGUUCUCCAUGAUGGAACUUGGAGGACAAAUACAUUCCUGGGUCUGAAUAAUUAAAUAAAUGCACUGACCAAAACACUAAAAGAAGACCAUGCAUGGGCCAAUCAUGAGGAUGUCAUAAAGCAAGGUUAUGAUUAACGUACUUCUAGGUACUAAGAACAAAAAUAUUCAUUUAUCUGUCCUUUAUUGUUUCUAUCAAUCGCUAGGCCCCAACUGGUCCUAUUAAUAGGAAAACAAAUAUCUCCCCCAUUUCCGACUCAAAAAUAUUCCUGUACCUCAGGCUACCUCAGUCCUUAGUGCUGUUGCUCAGUCUGGUUUCAAGGCCGGCGCAGGGGGAACUGAAAACUCUUAGUGGCCAACUAGUCUCUCUGGAUGUCGGUGCCACACAGUGUCACAGACAAGGCUUCACGUGGGGCAGUCCGCAGAUGCUGGCCUGUGCGGUGACAAGGCCUGCAUUGCUGCCCAGGCCAGGUGGCGCUCUGCCCUUGAACUCAGACAUUUCAUCUGCAGCAUCAGCCUCAUGCUGUGCAGAAACCAGCAAUCCCUCUGCUCCAGGGGCCCUUUGGGGCUGGAAGAUGACUCCCUACCCAGCAGGCAGGUGACAGAAAUGAGCAAAGUAGCCUGGAAUUAAGAAAAUCCGGCCCACGGGCUUUAUUUUUACUGAACGUUAAUGAAAGCAGGUAAUGUAUAAAUAUGCAUAAUAUCGUUUACAGUUGAUGUUUAUGGAAAUGCAAAUUAAGAGCAAAACAUAUUUAAUGAUAAGUCAAAUUUUUCCUUUUUAUAAUUCAUCUUCAAUACGAACCUGGAAACCCGACGUCUUUUCUUCUGUACCAAAGGUCCAUGUCUUUCAUUUUGUGUUCUGAACAGGAACAGAAUAUUUGCACCAUUAGAAUGCUGUUCCUUCAAUAUUGUCACAUUUAUCUAGUUUUCAGUACUGUUUUGUCCUACAACUUAAUAAUAUCCAUUAAUAGUGCUUCCUUUAUUCUUUAAGAUUAAGCAAACUCAAUAGUGUUACUUCAUUUUCAUUAAGUUUAAAAUACACUUUUUGGAAUCCAGUCUUCACACCUACAAUUUUGGGAUUGAAGUUCAUACUCUCACUUUCAUUACUGCAAAACUCAUUCCAGUGUAGUCAAGAGAACCAGACUAUCCCCUACAAAAUGAAUAUCUUAGAGGUAUUUUUUUUUAUAAAUGAGUGAAUUGAAUCUUACAUUUUAAAACUACAAUGUAUAGAUACCUAACUCAUGGACACUCUCGAAAAGGAAGAUUCCAAGUUGAUUUUUUUUGUGAGUUGUCAUGGAGAUUUUCCCUUGGCUCACAUAAAUAAGUCAAUUUCUUUCACCAACUCAAAAGCACCUAAACUGAUUCAUCCAAAGUCCAUGAACUACAGCAGAACCUGGUACCUGUGCUUCAGGAGGGUCACUGUCGGCAGUUCAAGCCACAGAAGCAUACCCAGUGCCAGUGUUCCUCACUACAUCCCUGAGAUUUCCCACUCCUAACCUUUCACUACUAACCAAUUGCUGGUGAAUAAUUAAACAAACAGGCAUAAAUUCUAGGCCCUUACAAAUGAUUUCUCGCUAAGUUUCCUAAUAAGUGUGACAUUAACACCAACUAGACCAUAGAUCAUAGCCUGGAACCAUGCUAAUGUUGGCCAACGCUCGAACUCUCAAGACUCUCUGGCUUCCAAAAUAACUUCCUGAUAUCAUGUCUGUUGUAUCGUAUCCUAUCCCAAUCGUCUUCUAGUUCCUCAAUCCUAAGAAACUCCAUAAAAAUAUGGAUGUGCUAGUUAGUACAUUUACUAUGUGUACUAACUCAUCAGAUACAAGAAAACACUAGAAAUUAUCUACAUUUCUUACAUAAAUUAUGCGGCACAUUUUUAGCCCUGUUUGUAAAACACUAAGUAACAAGACUUCUGGUUGUUUCUGGCUGGAAUAGAUCAAGCCUGUUGCAUUCAGUGGAUACUGUUUUAAAAACUCACCAUCUACAAAUAGUUUUGAUGCCCAGGCAGAAUUUUCCCUUAAUGCAGAGUGGCAUUUAACUGUAGUGUCAUUUAAUGUUUGCACAUUAAAAAAAAACCCUUUAAAAAUGCAUCCGUUUUAGUUUAAGUACUUCUCAUCAUACACAGUUAUGACCUUGUUUUUUAAACGGUUCAUAGUUAUAACCCUGUUUUAUUGCACAAUAUAUUCUUUUGACGCAGCAACCUUCUCAGAAUAUCUUUCAUUUCAAAAGAGCAGGGAAUGGAAAUUGGGUUGAUCUGGUAUGUGCCAUUGAACCUGGCAACUUAACUUGUCUGGAUCUUCAGUUCCUCCUCCACAAACGACAGCUGAUUAACCUCAAAGGUCCUACUAAUUUUAACAUUUAAGAAUGUUAUGACCCUCCCUGGCUGGUGUAGCUCAGUGGAUUGAGCAUGGGCCUGUGAAGUAAAGGGUCACUGGUUUGAUUCCCAGUCAGGGCACAUGCCUGGGUUGUAGGCCAGUUCCCAGUAGGGGACACCUGAGAGGCAACCACACAUUGAUAUUUCUCUCCUACUCUUUCUCCUUCCCUUCCCCUCUCUCUCUCUCUAAAAAAAAAUGUUACAACCCUAAGUCCUAAUGUAUUCUUGUGGUCCCCGAUGCCUCCUCCACCUUCAAGACAAAUUGCCCAGAAGAGGGACUUUUUCCCAAGUGAAUGUGUGCCACAGAUUAUGAUAGAGACUCAUAGCAAAACAGUAAAAUUAUUAUCAGUCCUAGCAUUAAUUAAUCAUACAUGUGAUCAUGUGCUAAGCAUUUCAUUGUUGUGCACUUUGUACUCACUUUUAUAUAAUGUAAAGGGAAGGAGGAUAGAAAAAUGGAGGUGGGAAGGUGUUGAAACUUAUGCACCUACUCAGAAGUAUGGUAUGCUGUCUAUAUGCAAGGUCUCAUUUAAUCUUUCUCGUCAAACCAUGCUUGUGGGAGAUGGCAUUAUCCUUACAUUACAGAUAAGAAAAGGAGGCUCAGAGAAGAAAAGUGUUCUGGCCAAUGUGACAAACUAGCAGCAAAUCUAGGCUUUAGUAGCUUGGUUCGGCCCCAAGGCUCUUGUAUCCACUGUACACUGCAUGAUUCUAGGAAGUGCAGAGCCUUCCUUGCGAGUGAGUUGUCUCAGGUCAUCCAUCUCCCGAGCAGU